GACGAACGCUGGCGGCGUGCUUAACACAUGCAAGUCGAACGGAAAGGCCCUGCUUUUGUGGGGUGCUCGAGUGGCGAACGGGUGAGUAACAUGUGAGUAACCUGCCCUUGACUUUGGGAUAGCUUCAGGAAACUGGGGCUAAUACCGGAUAGGAGCUCCUGCUGCAUGGUGGGGGUUGGAAAGUUUCGGCGGUUGGGGAUGGACUCGCGGCUUAUCAGCUUGUUGGUGGGGUAGUGGCUUACCAAGGCUUUGACGGGUAGCCGGCCUGAGAGGGUGACCGGCCACAUUGGGACUGAGAUACGGCCCAGACUCCUACGGGAGGCAGCAGUGGGGAAUAUUGCACAAUGGGCGGAAGCCUGAUGCAGCAACGCCGCGUGCGGGAUGACGGCCUUCGGGUUGUAAACCGCUUUCGCCUGUGACGAAGCGUGAGUGACGGUAAUGGGUAAAGAAGCACCGGCUAACUACGUG
rnacentral:rRNA from 1 species